GACAAGGGUGGUGGCCGCUCUGGAGGUGCCUGGGGGGUUCCCUCAUGACCCCUCUGGGCUUAGUCCAUCCUCCACACUGUUGUGCAGCUUCUCCACCUCCUGGUAGAGGAUAAAUACUGUUACCCUUAUCCCUGGUCACAUCCAGGGAGACGCGGUCCAGCGGCCCAGGCGGGGGACAGUGCCGUUCUAGAGGUCCUUGAGCCCCUCCUUCCUCAGGAUCUGCAGUCAUAGGCCGGUGUGUUCCGCAUUUGUGCUGCUCCAGGCCCCGCAUCCGGGUCUCGAUCCCAUCCAGAGGAGCGUUUCCCAAGACACUGGCUGCGCCCACAAUGGCUCCGAAGACCCCAGCGACCAGCGGGUCCAUGGGCUUGCUGGGGUUGUCCCCUCGGUACCAGCUGUGCAGGGAGGUCAGGAGGAGAAGCAGACGGCCUGGUUCCAGCCCUGCUUCAGCGUGGGUGCCAUGAGGCCCCGACGUUUAAAGUAUUGCUGUGUGUUUCAAGUGGAGGAGGUCAUAUUACAACUGACAUUUGUCCUUGACUACUGGACAUAUCACACCAGCCCUGAUUGCAGUUAUACUUGAAGCCAGAUCUACCCUUAACGUAUAUUCAUUUUACUAUUCAAUAAAUAUUAACUUAUCAUGAAUGGUA
rnacentral:lncRNA from 1 species